rnacentral:sRNA from 6 species
AUAUCUCUCCGUACGGGAAGGAUGAGAAGCUUCGACUAAGGUUCGAUUCGAGCGCAGCGAGAACG